rnacentral:rRNA from 1 species
AUACGUAGGAGGCGAGCGUUGUCCGGAAUGAUUGGGCGUAAAGGGCGCGUAGGCGGCCCGGUAAGUCUGGAGUGAAAGUCCUGUUUUUAAGAUGGGAAUUGCUUUGGAUACUGUCGGGCUUGAGUGCAGGAGAGGUAAGUGGAAUUCCCAGUGUAGCGGUGAAAUGCGUAGAGAUUGGGGGGAACACCAGUGGCGAAGGCGACUUACUGGACUGUAACUGACGCUGAGGCGCGAAAGUGUGGGGAGCAAACAGGAUUAGAUACCCUGGUAGUCCACACUGUAAACGAUGAAUGCUAGGUGUAGGGGGUAUCGACCCCUUCUGUGCCGCAGUCAACACAAUAAGCAUUCCGCCUGGGGAGUACGGCCGCAAGGUUGAAACUCAAAGGAAUCGACGGGG